rnacentral:rRNA from 1 species
AUUGAACGCUGGCGGCAGGCCUAACACAUGCAAGUCGAACGAGUGUCGGACGGGUGAGUAAUGUCUGGGCAACUGCCUGAUGGAGGGGGAUAACUACUGGAAACGGUAGCUAAUACCGCAUACCAUCGGAUGUGCCCAGAUGGGUUUAGCUAGUAGGUGGGGUAAAGGCUCACCUAGGCGACGAUCCCUAGCUGGUCGGAGAGGAUGACGAGCAACAGUGGAACGAGGACACGGUCCAGAAGCCUACGGGAGGCAGCAGUGGGGAAUAUUGGAAAAGGGGCGAAAGCCUGAUGCAGCCAUGCCGCGUGUAGGAAGAAGGCCUUCGGGUGGUAAAGUACGUUCAGCGGGGAGGCGUUACCCGCAGAAGAAGCACCGGCUAACUCCGUGCCAGCAGCCGCGGUAAUUC